UACUCCUUAAGAUGUUUAAAGAAAUACUAAAUUUCUUACUGAAACAUUGAAGUUUUUCUACAUCGUUCUUCUUUUUCUUUUCUCCUUCUCUCUCUAAACUCUUAGAAGAUUGAAGAAUGGAAUGGAAGUGAUGAGGAAAUAAAAGAAAGGGUCCCGAUUUGCACCAAGUGGCAAAAUUCGGUGAUGCCGUGAAAAACAUAAGAAAAAUUCCUCCACUGGCGGCGGCACACCACCCAAGGAAGUGCAUGACGCCCAAAGGGGCGGUAACACACUGCCCGUGGCAGCAGUGCACCCCACAAGGCCGACUGUGUGCAGGAGCUAACUUGUGCGUGCGCAGGGCCUACAAUGCAUAGGCCUAUCCACACAAGCCUAUUACGCAAACAGUGCACACACAGUGCGCGAUGCCUUGCCUUGUCCAUGGGCGAUGUGACAGGUGCUGACUG
rnacentral:lncRNA from 1 species